rnacentral:misc_RNA from 1 species
AAGUCGUAACAAGGUUUCCGUAGGUGAACCUGCGGAAGGAUCAUUACAAAUAAAGCCGGUAGGAGGUGGGGUCUUGAUCUGUAAGUGGUAGUGCGAACAGUCCGGCUGCCUCCCCGAAAUGUCUUGCAUCGCCCCCACAGCCUGAAGGCCGAAUUACAACCCUUGAUUAUCUACACUUGUUGCUUUGGGGUGCUCAAGUGCCCCAGAGGACCCAAACUCUGCUUUGUUGACGUCUGAGUACUAUAUAAUAUUUAAAAA